rnacentral:tRNA from 1 species
GAUGGUAUAGCUCAGUGGUACAGCGCAUGCUUAGUAUGCAUGAGGUCAUGGGUUCGAUCCCUAGUACCUCUG